CUAGGCUAGGCUGCCUCCCUUCCACAGCUAUCUCCUCCAUCUGAAAUACUCUUUUUUGACAUUCCGACAAACCAUGAGCCUCUUAACUUCGCCUGAGAGGAAUGAUUCCAUCUGCACUGGACCCCUUCCUGCAGCCCAGGAGCCUCCUUAUCUUUAAGUCUAGGAGAAUUCAGUCAACUUUCUACUUGAACAAAGAAGCUAUACUUCAAGUACAUGCAUCGUUUUCUCAAAAUUGGAUUAUAAAGAGCUGAUCUGAGCUGCAAUCAGACGGAUAAUUAAACAGCAAAGAAUGCCAGUUGGCUUUUGAGUGGAUAAUUGUUGCAGUGAGAGCAGUGACGUUGGAAACAACCAUUGCCUGUUUGAGUUACUUAAGACACCACCAUGCAAAGAAAUACUUCUGAUUUGCUUUCUCGGAACAAAAGUGCCUCUGAGGAAACGCUGCAUUCCUGUAAUGAAGAGGAAGACCCUUUGCGAGGCAUGGAACCCUAUCUUGUACGGAGACUCUCGUGCCGCAACGUUCAGCUUCCCCCUCUUGCCUUCAGACAGUUGGAACAAGCUGACUUGAAAAGUGAAUCAGAGAACCUGCAAAGACCCACCAGCCUCCCCCUGAAGAUCCUGCCUCUGAUCGCUAUCACGUCUGCAGACUCUAGUGGGUGAGUGCCCUUGGGCGACGUUUCCCCGUUUUAUAUUUUGGAUGUUGAUUGCUUAUUGUGGUCUUUUGAGACUUUGUGGCUCAUUGCUUGACUUGUGUGGGAAGAAAAAGGGGUUUCUAGAGCCAAAGGAAAGAAGGGUGAUUUCUCUCAGGUAAAGUCACUACCUCUGCAGGAAUAGAUGUUUUAGUUAAAAUGUUCUAUGAGGAGAAGAAAGAUAUUGGUGAAGGAUAAUAAGCAUCUGGAAAAGAGAACUUGGACUUACAGAAUUAAUAUUGAUCAUAUAUAAUUUAAUAGAAAAUUCUUAACAAAUAGAACUCAUGGACAAAUUAUCACAAAAGCGUACAAUAUCUGGAAACAGUAAGCAACGUUCACUGAUGCAAAGCAAAUUUAGAAUCAAGAAUAGAUUGUACUGUAUUUAGAAUCAAAGGAAAUAAAUAUGCAAUUAUAUUAAUGAACCUAAUAAUUUGGCCUUUGACAUUUUGAGGUAUUGCUUACCAAAAUACUAUUUCAGUUUCCAGCAUACAGCGGUCGUAUUUGGCAUGAGUAAAUAUAGAAGAAUCAUACACAGUUAUGUCACCAUAUGUAUUUCCUACUUUGCAGAGUAUUUGUGUUUUUAUUCUUCUGUUUACCAAUGAGGUUUUACUCUUUAAUAGCAAUGUCACCAGGUGAACAACUGUGAAAGAAACUGAGGAUAGUGGGCACAUACAUUAUGUGUUCUUUUGGCCAAAGAACAUUUGCAUUUUUAAGAAGCUUGAAUAGAAAAUAAAGAAGAGGAAGCCAGUAGACCAUACUUGGACAGACUCUUGAACAUUUGCUAAGCCUAUAAAAACAAAAUAAUUUACAUGUUGUAAAUUCGUUCUCUGCCAAGUUCAAGGCAUGUCUAGAGAAGGUACCUUUUGGAUUUUUCUAAAAGUUGCUAGAAAAGUUGUGAGCAGAAGAAAUUUGGCCAGUAACUGUCUUUUAAGAUAUAGAAUUUAGCUGUUUGAAUUGUUACAGACCAGUUCAAAGGACCUAUGUUAUUAAAAGGUAUAAGGAAAUUAUAAAUAAAAAGACAGCAAAUUCUUACUCUGAAGCAAUUGAAAGAGGAAAUAAAUGUUUAGGUUUGUUUUUGUUUUUUUGGAUGAACCAUGCAUACAAAGAAGAGUGUCUCCCUAUUGAUCCGACAUGCUAAAGCAGUGGGGAUUUUCUAUUGAAUGUUCUUUGAAAAAUAGUCUAACAAAACUGAUUUCCCCUCUCUGAGAUCAACACCACCGCCAUUCAUCUGUGUGGAGGGCAGGACUCAGAGAUACCAGAUGUAUCAGGAGUGGUCAGGACCACUCUGAGACUCCAUGGUUUGCUAGGGGAGCUCUCAGGAUCUAGUAACUAGUUGUAUUUAUUGCUAGGAUUUACUACAGCAAAAGACUACAUACGAGGUGAAAUCCAGAAAGAGAAAGGCACAAGGGGCAAAAUCUGGAAGAAACCAGACCCAAGCUUCCUAGAGCCCCUGCUUGCAGUGGAGUCAGGAAGGAUGCACUAGUAAUCAGUUGUGACAACACAUGUGAAAUGUGUUCACCAGGGAAACAUUCUACCUGGGAAGCCUACUGCAGAAUCAGUGCUUACAUGAGUUCCCUAAAAUAGUCAAACAUAGAAACAGAGAGUAGAAUGGUGGUUGCUAGGGGUUGGGGGUAGGGGAGAUGGGGAAUUGCUAUUCAGUGGGCAUGUAGGAUGAAUAAGCUCUAGAGAUCUGCUAUACAACACUGGCCUAUAAUUAACAUUACUAUAUUGUUCACUGAAGGAUUUUCCAAGAGGGUAGACUUCAUAACACAGUGAAAAACAAUAAAAAAUACAAAAAUAAAAAUAGAUGCCAUAUAAGGGUCAACCUUUUAAACAGGCUUUUUAAAAGAUAACAGUCUUA